GGGGGCGACAAGGUUUCGACGGGGAUAGUUGAGAUUUAAGUGGCAUGUCGGGAUCCUGCUGGCCCGUUAUCCGGCGGGAAAUUAAAGUAAUCGCAGACGAUUACGCAUACGCUGCGGCAGCUUAAUGCCGUUGUCCGCCCAGCCUAAGCCUGCGGGGUUGGGAUCGGGCAUCGAUUAGCGGGCUAGGAAACGAAUCUCGCCUUGUGGAUUCGGGACCGAAACUUAAGCAAGGCUGGCUUGGAAGAAACCCUGUUCGUGGGGGCUCGGCCAGGCGAGAUUUAAAACACGAACUAAGCAUGUAGAGGCUUAGGUUGAAGAUUUCCGGACGGGGGUUCGAUUCCCCCCGCCUCCACCA
rnacentral:tmRNA from 1 species